rnacentral:rRNA from 1 species
AGAUUGAACGCUGGCGGCAGGCCUAACACAUGCAAGUCGAGCGGUAGAGAGGUGCUUGCAUCUCUUGAGAGCGGCGGACGGGUGAGUAAUGCCUAGGAAUCUGCCUAGUGGUGGGGGAUAACGUUCGGAAACGGACGCUAAUACCGCAUACGUCCUACGGGAGAAAGCGGGGGACCUUCGGGCCUCGCGCCAUUAGAUGAGCCUAGGUCGGAUUAGCUAGUUGGUGAGGUAAUGGCUCACCAAGGCGACGAUCCGUAACUGGUCUGAGAGGAUGAUCAGUCACACUGGAACUGAGACACGGUCCAGACUCCGUACGGGAGGCAGCAGGUGGGGAAUAUUAGGACAAGUGGGCGAAAGCCUGAUCCAGCCA